rnacentral:rRNA from 1 species
GACGUAGGGCGCGAGCGUUGUCCGGAUUUAUUGGGCGUAAAGAGCUCGUAGGCGGCUUGUCGCGUCGUCCGUGAAAACCUGCGGCUCAACUGCAGGCUGGCGGUCGAUACGGGCAGGCUGGAGUUCGGUAGGGGAGACUGGAAUUCCUGGUGUAGCGGUGAAAUGCGCAGAUAUCAGGAGGAACACCGGUGGCGAAGGCGGGUAGCUGGGCCGACACUGACGCUGAGGCGCGAAAGCCAGGGGAGCGAACGGG